CUUAUUAAAAACAGAAUAUUGCCUACAUCACAUAAAGGGCAAACUCCUCCCUCACUUGGUCACAGAAGCAAUUACAGCAUUGUCUGUAGUACAUAGCCCAUGGCCUCUAACCACAGUGAUGGCCACACUUGGUGAUGUGCAACUCAGUGGGGCCUACAGGGGCCCAGCUGACAUAGACAUCACAAAGGAGUUUGAACCAGGACUCAGAAAUAGGGUCUCUGGGGGCUUUAAAAAAGCUGUUUAAGAGAAAAAGCAGAGAGACUGUAGUGAUUGUCAAGUGCAAGGAGUUCUGCAUUCCAGACAAACAAAUGCAGUGUGCAGAAAACAGAGUGGCAAGGGAAUCCCCUCAGCACAAGGGGACAGAGGCAGAUAGGCAAAAAGGUAAUUACUACACGUCUGCCUUUCAUGAAAGGCAGUCUGCCCUCCUUAGUGUGGCUUGGAACUUCAAUUCUGGCUACCAGGAUACAGAGGUGGAGGAAGAGAAGGCUGAACACCAUCCCCCUCUCCCAACACACACCCUUGAGGCAAGAAAGAUAUCAAGUUCUCAUUUUGUUGCAAGAAAACUACAUUCUCCUUUUGAUAAUAAGCAAAAAAAUACUUCUAUAUUUUUCAAAUAGUAGCUGGUCGGAACUGUUCCAAACCCAGAGAAAAAGCAAUAAACACUGAAAUCCCCUGGCGGUCCCUGAGUUGAAGAUGUAGGCAAGAAGUAUUCCAUAUCUUCAAGGUUUUUAGGGAGAAGCAAGAAAACGGUAGAGGAAGGGUAGAGGAGGCCUCCCAGGAGGCCUGGGAGUGACGUGGACCCGUCCUAUGAAAGCUGGAACCUUUAGGCAACAGAAUCAGGAGAUGCUGACUUUAAAUUUAAAUUACCUUGCUGAAAAGGAUUGGCCCAACACAGUACAAGCAGCAGUCUUUGGAAUGAAUGCAUCUUUUACUGACCUAUGCCUCUCUUUCAGAGGUCACGGCUGUCUUCACCCUCUUCUUUGCAUGUAUCUCAAGCCUAUGUAAUUAACACCAAUAUUUUUACUGCACAUUUGAGAAAGGAGACUAAGGGCAUCAAAAGACAUGGCAGUGCUGGGACUUGGCUUCAGAAAUGCACUUUGCUCAAGGAAAUUCUCUGAGCCGCCAGUACAAACAGAGAUGGUGAUGCACUUCAAAAGUUAUAGCAGAAAAUAGAGAUGAGCCAGUAAGAUAACUGCAUAAUUGCACCCUAUAGGAGAAGAUCCUUAAGGGGAAAAAGAUGGACCCCUAUAGAUACAGAACAGCUUGAGGCAUCAUGCUGCAAGACAUCCCAGCAAUGAAAACUGAAGAAGAGAAUGGCAGUAGCCUGCAAUGGUCAAGAAGAGAAGGAAGUGUUCACCUAAGUGUGACGCUGAGGUAGUUGGAGCACAGAAGGUGACACUGAUUAUGAAGAUUUCCCAAUAAAGAGCUGGCUACAGUGAAAAGAGCCCUAGUUUUCAACUUUCAUUUUAUCUCAUCUACAUUGUCUAUGCUGACCCACACAUCAAGCUUCAGAAGUAGAUCCUGGAUGCCUAUUUUUUAGGAAAAUAAGUUAAAAGUUACAGCUUACUCAAGUGCAGUUCUUCAAUGUCCAUACUCUUUGCACUACCCUGGGCUUACACCAGGAAUUCAGAUAAGCAUGGGCUGUCUGCUUAUGUGCAGGGAUGUACUGGUCUCAAGUCAGUUACCAUCUGAAAGCUAAAAAAGGGAGUCAAAAGGACCACAAAGAUGAAGCCACUUCUGACACCAAAGGAAAUGUGUCUUCUGCUCACCUUUGUAGGGGCCAGGAAAGAAAAUGUACCCCAAGUACAGAUCCAUAAUUUGGGGCCAGAGUCUCAUCUGACCCCUGUGAGAUUCUUCAUGAUCCACUCUAAAGCUUUAAGCCAGCAAAUUCGAUGUAUUUAUAAGGGAGUCAAACCACAUCACAUGUGCAAGUUCAGACAAAGAAUCUGAUGUUCGAAUC
rnacentral:antisense_RNA from 1 species